rnacentral:lncRNA from 1 species
CAGCUUGCCUGGCCCUUCUUGGAGCACGGAGAGAAGUGGGAAAGAGAAGCUGGAUUCGAUAGGUUCAGCCUAGGGUGACCAGACAGAACUCCAGCGCCCUCGCCCUUCAGUCACACAGCAACCCGUAGGUAUCAAUCCGGUGCUGGGGCCGAUGAGGAAACCGAGACUCCAAGACAUUAGAAAUAAGUCAGCCAUUCCAGUGGAUUCCUGCCUGCAGAGGGCCUCUCAGUCAGCUUGGUGCCUGCAGUCUGCCGCCAAGAUCCCAAGUCCUGUGACCCAGGCAGAGGUUCUGGGAGGAGCCGACGGCCAUCUCUUUCACCAGGAGA